GGGAAUUUUCGUCAAUGGGGGGAACCCUGAACGAGCAAUGCCGCGUGUGUGAAGAAGGUCUUCGGAUCGUAAAGCACUGUUGUAAGUGAAGAGUGCCAUAUAGAGGAAAUGCUAUGUGGGUGACGGUAGCUUACCAGAAAGCCACGGCUAACUACGUGCCAGCAGCCGCGGUAAUACGUAGGUGGCAAGCGUUAUCCGGAAUCAUUGGGCGUAAAGGGUGCGUAGGUGGCACGAUAAGUCUGGAGUAAAAGGCAACAGCUCAACUGUUGUAUGCUUUGGAAACUGUCGAGCUAGAGUGCAGAAGAGGGCGAUGGAAUUCCAUGUGUAGCGGUAAAAUGCGUAGAUAUAUGGAGGAACACCAGUGGCGAAGGCGGUCGCCUGGUCUGUAACUGACACUGAUGCACGAAAGCGUGGGGAGCAAAUAGGA
rnacentral:misc_RNA from 1 species